UACAGAGGCCCCGAGCGUUAGGCGGAAUCACUGGGCUUAAAGCGUGUGUAGGUGGAUGCCUAAGUACCUUGUGAAAUCCCACGGCUUAACCUGGAAUUGCUGGGUAUACUGGGUGUCUUGAGCCACUCAGGGGCUACCGGAACAAAUGGUGGAGCGGUGAAAUGCGUAGAUAUCAUUUGGAACGCCAAUGGUGAAAACAGGUAGCUGGGGGGUGUGCUGACACUGAGACACGAAAGCCAGGGGAGCAAACGGG
rnacentral:rRNA from 1 species